AACGAACGCUGGCGGCAUGCCUAACACAUGCAAGUCGAACGAGACCUUCGGGUCUAGUGGCGCACGGGUGCGUGACACGUGGGAAUCUGCCCUUUGCUUCGGAAUAACAGUUAGAAAUGACUGCUAAUACCGGAUGAUGUCGAAAGACCAAAGAUUUAUCGGCAAAGGAUGAGCCCGCGUAGGAUUAGGUAGUUGGUGGGGUAAAGGCCUACCAAGCCGACGAUGCUUAGCUGGUCUGAGAGGAUGAUCAGCCAGACUGGGGCUGAGACACGGCCCAGACUCCUACGGGAGGCAGCAGUGGGGAAUAUUGGACAAUGGGCGAAAGCCUGAUCCAGCAAUGCCGGGUGAGUGAUGAAGGCCUUAGGGUUGUAAAGCUCUUUGACCAGGGAUGAUAAUGACAGUACCUGGAGAAUAAGCACCGGCUAACUCCGUG
rnacentral:rRNA from 1 species